UACGUAGGGGGCUAGCGUUGUCCGGAUUUAUUGGGCGUAAAGAGCGUGUAGGCGGCCAGGUAGGUCGGUUGUGAAAACUGGAGGCUUAACCUUCAGACGUCGACCGAAACCAUCUGGCUAGAGUCCGGAAGAGGAGAGUGGAAUUCCUGGUGUAGCGGUGAAAUGCGCAGAUAUCAGGAAGAACACCCGUGGCGAAGGCGGCUCUCUGGGACGGUACUGACGCUGAGACGCGAAAGCGUGGGGAGCGAACAGG
rnacentral:rRNA from 1 species